rnacentral:rRNA from 1 species
GACAGAGGGUGCAAACGUUGUUCGGAAUUACUGGGCGUAAAGCGUGUGUAGGCGGUCUCCUAAGUCGGGCGUGAAAGCCCCGGGCUCAACCUGGGAACCGCGCUUGAGACUGGCACGCUCGAGUUCGGGAGAGGAUGGUGGAAUUCCCAGUGUAGAGGUGAAAUUCGUAGAUAUUGGGAAGAACACCGAUGGCGAAGGCAGCCAUCUGGACCGACACUGACGCUGAGGCGCGAAAGCGUGGGGAGCAAACAGG